CAGACCGCAGGUCGUAUGCUAAUGAGCAAAACCGGCCUGUUUUAUUUCCAAUCCCGCGAGCGCUCGCUCCUGGCAUCUAACGUCUCGCGAGUCACGAGAUUUUUGUACCGUGUACUGCGAGUGCAGUUUAAGAGAAAACCACGCUUUCUGCGGUCGCCAUGUUUAGGUGAGUACAUAGUCCGUUUUCUUGUGUCUAUUAUCGUUCUUUUUCUGUAAAAUUUGAGUAAAAUUUCGUAUAGAAAACACGUCAUAACCACACGCCUCUCUUUAGGAACUGUUUUUGCAAGCCUCUAAAUGUUGCUGGAUCCUGACCCUGUCAUAAAAUGUACGAUUUUAAUUUGUUUUUAAUUGCCAUCUGCAGAUGUUGACGAUUCCAUCGAUAUGUAAUUUGUCCCGGCUCACAAAUUAACAAUAUGAGUAUUUGCCCCCCUAAAGUUAUGAAUAUUUAAUUAGUUGAUCGUCUUGAAACCGUGAACGAUGUGCACAAAGUCACGUGUUACCGGAAUCCGAACUUAAGAGGCCAUUUUCGAUGAACGGUCAAGUUUUUAUAGUGUAGUCCCGCGUACUUACAUUUUUGUGUUUAAACCACUCGUUAGGUAACCAGUCGCAAACAUUGAAAGAAAAGAUCGUAGAGUCGAAUUCAUGAAGCAAAUAUGUUAUGAAUUUAUCAAAUUUACAUAUAUAACCGUAAAAAAUUAUAUGGUUAAUAAAAAGGUCUUCCAAAUUCUAUAUAUUUUUGCUAGAUCAAGGUAAGGAGAUUGAUUUGAUGUAGAUUGUGUCUUGACUUGAGACUGAGAAGUGAGAGUUGAGUGAUCAGUGAUGAUGUGAUGUCUGAUGGUGAUGGAGCCAAGUAUUUGCACUUGCAGUUUUAAACGUCUAGUAACAGUAACUUAGAUCAUGACAUGGGUGAGAAUCUAUGAUGAAAAUCAAGCAAGACCCAGUUUUUUUAUUAUCAAAAUCAGUUUGUAAUUAACUUGGGUCACAGCAUGCAGCAGCCUGUGCAUCUGCCAUGUCUGGGCGCUGCGCCUGCGGUGACUAUUCAGACUAGUUUAUCCUAUUCUCAAAUUCUUUCAAGUUUCAUAUCUCACUCUCAGAUUCAAAAGUUUCAAUUGUCAGAGCAAGGUCAUUAGCUACCAAUCUUGAAAGUUGAAAUGGCCCUAGAAUUCCAUUUAUCAUGGUGAUAUUGCAGUGAUCCAUUAAAUUGAGCUGUGUUGAACCGAGAUUGAAGGCACUUUUGCCCCCCCUGAAUUUUACCAAUCUUUCUGGUGUAGAUUUAAACGUAGUUAAAUUUCUGCUUUUUUUUAUCAACAGUCACUUAUUCUUAGUUUCUUUUGUUUCCCUUUUUUUCGUUCCAUGUAGGAGAUGGCAGAUUCAUGUAUAUGGUGACUCAAUUGUUCGUGGUGUAAGUUUUGAUCAGGAUCAGUUUGGUGGCAAAAUAUUCUGCUAUCCGGGUGCCACUGUUAGGAAUCUUCGACAGAUAAUUAGAGCACAAACAGACUUUGACUCCACAGUGGAUGCAGUUGUAAUCCAUAUUGGAACUAACAAUCUCGGCAAUAGUGUCUGGGAAAGAACUGGAGGACAAUAUAGAGAUUUGAUUUUUAGUGUACGUGAGAAGUACAGAGAAUCAAGAAUAUUUGUUUCCGCAAUCUUGCCUCGUUGGGACGAUGACAGUUUUUAUGAGCAGUCUCUUUAUUUUAAUUUGAAAUUACAUUGUUUGACUAAAGAAUUUUUCAAUUGUACUUUCGUCGAUUGUACUCGACCUUUCUCCUUUUCAUUUGAGCGCUUUAAUUUUGAUGGAUUACAUCUGAACAAGCGAGGGAAAACCACCUUUUCAAAGGAACUUUCUACCAUAUUACUGAGGAAUCUUGAUCCUGUAAAACCCACAGCAAAGAAGUACGUGCCUGCAGAACUGUUAAUAUUAUGGACCCCUCCACGUAGAAGAAAAUCCACCUGUACACAACACCAGCCUGCACAACACAAAUCAACCAUCUCAUCGGAAUCCGGCCCACCUAACUCAUCAGAAUCAUCCAACUCCUCCAAAUUACCCAAAUCAUGCGUAGCGCCCACUUUAUCUACGCAAUGUAGCGGACAACCAAAGACAAUGCCGAGGCCAAGGAGAAGGAGGAAGAAGAAGAGGAAAAAACAUGUGGAGAAAGACGAGUUGGGGUUCAUGACCCACAAAAAGCCUGCCCGACAACCAGUCCGGCCCCCAGACCUUCCUCCAAACAUGUUCAUCCCGGAUGUUUGUCCAAGAUGGUCCAUCCCUUACAAGCACCUCGGUCAAGGACCUCUACGUUCCCCCUGUGAGCUGCCAGGAAUUACCCAUUCUCCUUACGUCCACAGAAGACUACGAGGGAAAAUGAAACGUCGUCAUCUAAACGCGAGCAAACGUCAAAGACGGCGUAGAAAGAUUUCAUACAGACGGUAUCUCUGCAUCCUCAGUAACCUUCCCAAGUUUGUGCAGCAGGGGUAAAGCCUUGCAAGAAGGAGCAGUGUGGACCCUGUGCCUUAUGCAAACGUUCAUCCACAAGGUAUUGUCACCUGGUGACCAUCAUAUCAACGACACUCAAGGCGGCAAUUGUGGCUGCUCAUCCAAGUACCAAAGACACAGACUGCAUAUGCAACGCCUGCCGGAUUAAGUAUAACAACAAAGUAAAAGAUUCAAAAUAUACACCAGAAAAAUCUCGUGAAAAAGUCAGGUCUCAGUUAUGUAUUCUCUCAAAUGAGGGGCGGUGUCAGAGCAAUUCUCAAGUUGAUUCAAAUAUUUCUGUUGAACAAUUCAAUCGUGCAUUUGACCUUCAAUAUUUGUUGUUGCCCUCCCCUACACCUUUGUGCCAUCAACAUAGAUUAGAAGUUGUGCAUUUCAAAGAACUCACAGAAUGUGCUGUCUGUAGUCACUUGUUGAAAGUAAGUCAGUCAACUAAAUUUUAUAGGUUGGAUGAAUGUGAAAAAGUAAGCAUGGAAAAACUGUUACUUAUUAAUGAAUGCUUCAGAGCUAAUGAAGGAGAUCUGAUUUGUAAACAGUGCUACAAUUUUUCAUCUAGACAACAAGUUCUAACAGACUUAGAAAAAACUAUAGAUAGCAUUGAAACCACUCUUUCAGAGGUGAGCCAUGAUGAGGAAGAUUCUGUUACGCCCAAAUCCAUUCUUAAGAGAUUGUGUAAAAAAACUUUCAAGGAAAUAUGUAAAUGGUUGAAAAGUUGUUGUGGAUUUUUACUAGCAGAUGCAUAUGAUUAUUUCUUGAGGGAGUUGGAAAAAGUCUUGGACAAGAACUCUGACAAAUAUGAGCAAUGUUCAAAAAAAGGUAGCUGGUUAUUGAGUAGAAUAUUGGGCAAGUUUGGAUGUAUAUUAUCUGUACACAAAUCCACUAAAAAGAAGGGUGUUUUCUUGUAUCUGACUUCUGCCACUAUGGAGCAGUUGUUAGAAAGCCUACAUAAUGCAAAUUCACACUUACGGUUGUUGAAAAAAGGUAAUGUCAGACAAGAAGAUGAUAUUUCAACCCUACCUUUGGAAACCAAGUCUCAAACACUAGACCAUAUGUAUCGUGUACUCAUACUUGAAUGCAAUACGAGACUUAAAAAUCAAUCUAAGAGAAUUAAAGAAUACUAUACUAGGGACCCUCUGUCCAUUGAUAAGUUCAAUUUCAAUGAAGCUCUAUCAUCUUUUGAUCCUGUUAUUUGGAAUGUUGUAUGUCUUCUUACCUCAAAUUCUGAGGAAAUACAUGCUUUCAAAAAGACAUCUUUGCAUGUAGCUAAGGAUUUACUUUCAUUUCCUAAUGAUCAUACACCUUUUGGGAUGCAAAGAAAGAUCAGACGAAUUGUACUAGUGUUCAUACUCCAAUUUGUGCUUAGCGAGUCGUGCACAUAUCCUUUUCAUGUAAUUAUGGCUAAUGUAAUUAAGGGACUGACCCAUUCUUCUACCCUUAUUACCAUAGGGAACAGAUUAGGAUUUUGUUGUUCCGAGGACACAUUAGAAAGGCUUUUGCAAGCUGUAAAAGAUUCUAGAGAAGUUAAUGGUCCUUUAGAUCUGCUAGAUUUACAAGCUGUUACACAUGUCACAAUAGAUAAUAUAGAUGUGUUGGCUUCUCAUGCUGCCGUGAACCCCAACCAACCAAGGAGUUGGCAUGGUACAUCAAUAAUGGCUCAGCAGCCAAAGCCAUUUUCUGAACGUUUGGAUCCAAAAUAUGAAUUGUUAGAUCAUGUCACCACUCAACAUGAUAGAAGUAACCUAAAAUCCAACAAAAGAAAAAAAAAGCCAUCAAUAAUGGCUCAGCAGCCAAAGCCAUUUUCUGAACGUUUGGAUCCAAAAUAUGAUUUGUUAGAUUGUGUCACCACUCAACAUGAUGGAAGUAACCUAAUAUCCAACCAAAGAACAAAAAAGCCAUCAGCUCGGAAGAAAAUCAAGUUGAAUCAUGUUCCCAGUCAUCCAAGCAAAGAUGAUUUCAUGCCAACACAGUUCAAAACCAACGUGCAGUCUCAGCUUUCGUGUGAUUCAUUUGUUUUAUCGGAGGAAGAGGUGGAAUCCCUAACUCAAGUUCAUAAUGAUAUGAUACUCUUUAUGUGUGAAAGAUUUGUUUCUGUUGAAAGUGAUCAAUCUUCUUUACCUAUUGUUCCAGGCUUUAAAUGCAAACUUCUUUUAGACUCGGACAAUGUAGAAACUGAGAUUUCUAAGUUUUCCUAUAUGUAUGUGCUUGAUGAGCCAGCAGACUCGCGUCAAACUUUAUUAAGAUCACUUCACCUCUUGUACGAUUCAUUCAAAGUAUCUAAAGACAUUAAUCACCUUGUCGUCGCUGGUGAUGGUGCCACUUUUAAACUUAUUCUUGACAUCAAACAGGAAUAUGGCGAUUCCAUGGAAUGGUUAAUACCAUACAUAGGUGACUGGCAUCUCCUCAAAAACUACCAAGAAGUGAUAAUGAAAAUAUUCUGGGAUUCAGGGCUUAAAGAUCUUGCCAAAUCAACACACAAGAAUAUGACGCUUAACAGUCUAUCCACCUGUUCCAAUUUUAAACGUACUCAUAGAUUUCUAUUACAGGCUCAUGAAGCUAUAUUAAUGUUACAGUUUCAGUGUUUUCUUGACCAGAGAAAUAUCACUGAUGACUCUGAGGCUCUUUCUAAUACAUUUUUUCUGGACAGUGUUAAAUCUUUAAUACAGUCACUUGUAAUUAAAGAUGGUAAUAUUGAUGCAAGCACUUUCAAAGAUUUGCAAUCAGAGUUUUCCCAGUCCCCAAUGUUUACAUCAAUGAAAGAAGAAUUCCUUGUUUUUCGUAAGGAAAUGUCAGACAAACUAGAAACUUUUAGGUUUUGGGAUAGAUUUGUGCAUGAAGACUGCAUGGCGUAUAUUCAUCUGUUCAUUGCAAUUCGUUCACGUAACUGGCAUUUAAGAAAUGCAGCUGUAAAGGAGAUGGCUCCAUUAUUUCAAGCCUGUGACAGGCAAAACUACUCUAAAAUGAUCCCUUUGCACAUAGGUUUUAUGCAGGCAUUACCAGACUACAUACUGAGGCAUUUUGAAAAUGGUGCCUUUGCUUCUAAUAUCAAGGGAACAGAGUUAUCAUCUCUAGGUCUUGAUGAGGCACACGAGACGACAAUUAACAAGGAUAUUAAAAUGUCUUGGUCACGUAGUUUGCCAAAGAAUAUGGAUAGAAUAGCUGGCACGAUCCAAUACCAAGCAAAACUCAUCUCUAAUAUUCAGGAUGAAUUAGACGUGUUUACACCAAAGAAGAUUGUCCUUCAUCGUGAUCUUUCUCCGUCUGUUAUAAAAGCAGAAUUUGCUAAUGUAAAAAUGUAUUUUGGUAAAUUGUUAACAACACAGAUGUUUUUACCAAAUCAAGAGCCUCAGUUGUAUCAUGUCUUUACUAAUGUGCCUGCUACCAAGGACCAACAGGCAAGCCUUCUGUCAUAUCGUCAAAUUGGUCAAGAUUCUUAUUUACUUUUUUGUAAAUUUCAAAUCUUAAAAGAUUCUAGCAACAAGAAGCCUGUUACCCGAAGGCACAAGCUCAAAACAUUUGCUAAAUCUAAAGUAACACGAAGAAGAAUGACAAACCUUGAAAAAGAGAAAAAAAUGAUAACCUUGUGUUACAAGAGAACAAUUGCUUUCUCAGAAGAUAAAGGCUUACCUAUCAGUACCCUUUGUCAAUUUGUAGAGAAGCCGCGUGCUAUUUGUAACUCUAACGACUUACCUCAUAAAGGUGCUAAAUGGGUUAUGUAUGACAUUUUCAAUAAGAGAUAUGGUGAGAAAUUUGAUAUCAUUACAUGUAACCCUAAAAUAACAUUGCCAGGAGCUUGCUAUAUAGCAGAAGGGAUGAAUAUCAUUUAUACCAGCCCUUUGAGACAGUUCAAGACGUUUUUAGAUUAUGCAACAUUUUUAGUCCGUCGUUGGAUACUUUCUAGCUACAGAAAAGGCUUUAUUGAUGUAAGAAUAUUAUUUGACCAAGUGGAUACACAGGGAUUAUCACCCAAAGCAAUAGAGCGUUCUAGGAGAGAUGAGAGUGGUGAUGAUAUAGAAGCAAACUACAAUAAUAUAGCAGAUGAUACUGUCCUUCCUGUGAACUGGUUCAAAUUUUUAAAGGUCAGGACACAGAAACAUUGCCUAAUUCGAUAUUUGUCAAGCAAAUUCAUUGAACUUGUUAAGGAUCAGUUGUUAGAUAAUCAAAUAUUCAUAACAUCUGGAGGAUUUCAUGUAGGGCUAGAAAAAAGACCAAAUUGGACAGGUGUCAAAGUGACAAAGAAAGGUACUGAAUAUCACUCCUUAAUUCACAAUCAUGAAGAAAGCGAUACACAGAUUUUUCUUCAUGUUUUUGAUACGCAAUGUACAGAUAUAUUAAUAUAUUCUAUUGAUAGGGACAUUGGUAUCAUUGGUUUACCCUUGGAAUUUGGGAGCAAGACUGUGUGUAUUCAGUAUAGAUCUAAAGUUGGUGAGGAAAAGUAUUUAAAUAUCAAUCUCUUACAAACUGCAAUAAUGACAGAUUCUGACCUUUCAUGUAUAGUUGAUAAAGAUAUUAGUAUUCUCAAGUGUGUGCAAAUGAUAUAUAUCUGCUCAGGAUGUGACUUUGUGUCCUAUUUUGCGCAUGUAGGAAAAAGUAUGUUUUUCAAUGUAUUUGUGCAAUAUGCCUCCUUCAUUUCAGGUGACAGCAUUGAUACUUUGUUAGGAAAUUUGACAUGUUCCACAGUAGGAUCAGAUAGUGACAAGGGUCUUCUUUCCUUUUAUAGGUUUAUAUUGUGUGUUUAUUUUAAAGCAAACAGAGCCUUUCUUCAUGACUAUGAUUCACCCUUACAACUUUUUAACACAGUUUCUGGUACUUCAGUACUUAUACAUCAUCAAGAAGCAUUAGCUAUAGUCCGCAAAGCUUCAUGGAUAGGGACGUAUGAGGACCAACUUCUUCCAUCAAACACAGCUCUUCGCUUUCACUGGCUUAGGGCAUGUUGGGUUAGCUCUGUAUGGGGGCAGUGCACAAUACCACUUUUUCAAUAUCCAGAUAUUGGUGCACAUGGUUUUUCUGUUUUAGUCGAGAAUGGAAUUUCAAAAGUUGAUAUAGUUUGGGAUUCAAAAGAAAACAUUAAGGAGAUACAAAAUAAUGUUGCCUAUCUUACUCGAGGAUGUUCAUGUGCCAAAAAUAAAUGUUCUAAUAAAAGAUGUAAAUGCAAAAAACAAGGUAACUUUUGCGGACCUGGCUGUACAUGUAGAAGCUGUGAGAAUGUAAAAACAACACAUUUACAGAAUCCUACCUCUGUGUCUUUAAUAGAAUCUGAUAACAGUGAUGAUUCUGAUUAUACAUCUAGUGAUGAAAGUGAUUUGGAAAUUAAUGACAGAGAUAUGCAGGUUGAUGAUGAUGUACAUGUCUUUGAGACCUCUGAAGGUAAUGUAAGGGAAGCUGAGAUAACAGAUUUUUCUGAAGAUGAAACAGAAUUGGUUUAAAUACUGACUGAUAUUACUUGUCAGAAUGUUUAAGAGUUAUUGCUCGGCAUUUGUAUUCUAUUUUAUAUAUGUUUGUAUUCAGAGUUUUAUUUAGUUAUGUACAUGUACAUGCUGCCUCAUUGACGUAAUUACUGGUUAUUACAACUUAAUAUGUAUUAGAACUUUUGUUACAUUACUGUCAGCUUUUUAUCAAAGAGAUUUACUAGUAGAUAUGUUGUCUUCAUAUACAUGCCAGGUGUUUUCAGUUACACCCAUAUUUAUAGUGGUUAUUAAUUCUAGAUUGUUUUCUUGAGCACAUGCAUGUUCAUUAUUAUAUUAUAUUCUAGAGUUGAAGGAAGUGUAAACAAAAUGUUACACUGCUAUCUAGUAUCUACAUGUAUCUUGUAUUCUGCUUUUUAAAAUAAGAUGAAACUUGCCAGCUGACGUUUUGAAUGCUAUGGAGACACUUUUUUUUCUACUAGCGUUUGUACAAUCUUUCUUUUCUUGCCAAAGAAGG